CUAUACAUGACUCUGAGCAUAUCAAUAAGCGGAGGAAAAGAAACUAACAAGGAUUCCCUUAGUAACGGCGAGUGAAGCGGGAAGAGCUCAAAUUUGAAAUCUUCAAGGUUCUACCUUGACGAAUUGUAGUUUAUAGAAGUGUUUUCUGUUAGUAGAGUGGCAAAAGUUCUUUGGAAUAGGACAUCAUAGAGGGUGAGAAUCCCGUAUUUGGUCAUUCCUUCCUAGCUUUGUGAUACACUUUCAACGAGUCGGAUUGUUUGGGAAUGCAGUCCAAAAUGGGUGGUAAAUUUCAUCUAAAGCUAAAUAUUGGCGAGAGACCGAUAGCGAACAAGUACCGUGAGGGAAAGAUGAAAAGAACUUUGAGAAGAGAGUUAAACAGUACGUGAAAUUGUCAAAAGGGAAGCGUUUGACACCAGUGUUGUUUUUCCGAAAAUCAAUUACGAAUGUUUUAGUUUUUGAGAAGUUAUGACUUCAUCGGCUUGCUUCUCUCUUUAUGAAACUUUCUUAAUGCACUUUUCGGUUAACAAGUCAACAUCAAUUUCUUUUGUUGUAAAAGGGUAUGAGGAAGGUGGCUUUCUUUUCGGAGAAAGUGUUUAUAGCCUUGUACCUCUGCAAUCGGAGAGAUUGAGGUCUGCAGCGUAGAUUCUUCGGGGUUAGAUACAUUUGUGCUAAGUUAUAGCUUUUCAUAGACAACUUGUUGACUAUGUUUAGUCUUGUAGCUUACUCGCCUUAUGCUAUUUUACCUACGCUUAGGAUGUUGAUAGUCACAGCGUGUAC
rnacentral:rRNA from 1 species